GACGAACGCUGGCGGCGUGCUUAACACAUGCCAGUCGAACGGAAAGGCCCCAUCUUGCUGGUGUACUCGAGUGUCGAACGGUUGAGUAACACGUGGUUGAUCUGCCCUGCACUUCUGGAUAAUCCUGGGAAACUGGGUCUAAUACCGGCUAUGACCGCACUUUGGUUUGUGUGUUGGAAAGGUUUUUCUGGUGUGGGAUCAGCUCGUGGUCUAUCAUUUUGUUGGUGGGGUAAUUGCCUACCAAGACGGCGACGGGUAUCCAUGCUUGGUUGGUGGACGGUCACAUUGGGAAUGUGAUACGGCCCAGACGUCUACGGGAAGCAGAAGUGGGGAAUAAUGCACAACGGGGGAAACCCUGAUGCAGAGACGCCGCGUGGGGGAUGAAGGCUGUCGGGUUGUAAACACCGUUCGAGAGGGACAAAGCUUUUUGUGACGGUACCUGGAGAAGAAGCACCGGAUAACUACGUG
rnacentral:rRNA from 1 species